rnacentral:snRNA from 1 species
AUGAUUUAAAUUUUUAUAAGAAA